rnacentral:rRNA from 1 species
UAGCGGCGGACGGGUGAGUAACACGUGGGUAACCUACCUAUAAGACUGGGACAACUUCGGGAAACCGGAGCUAAUACCGGAUAAUAUGUUGAACCGCAUGGUUCAAUGGUGAAAGAUGGUUUUGCUAUCACUUAUAGAUGGACCCGCGCCGUAUUAGCUAGUUGGUGAGGUAACGGCUCACCAAGGCAACGAUACGUAGCCGACCUGAGAGGGUGAUCGGCCACACUGGAACUGAGACACGGUCCAGACUCCUACGGGAGGCAGCAGUAGGGAAUCUUCCGCAAUGGGCGAAAGCCUGACGGAGCAACGCCGCGUGAGUGAUGAAGGUCUUAGGAUCGUAAAACUCUGUUAUUAGGGAAGAACAAACGUGUAAGUAACUGUGCACGUCUUGACGGUACCUAAUCAGAAAGCCACGGCUAACUACGUGCCAGCAGCCGCGGUAAUACGUAGGUGGCAAGCGUUAUCCGGAAUUAUUGGGCGUAAAGCGCGCGUAGGCGGUUUUUUAAGUCUGAUGUGAAAGCCCACGGCUCAACCGUGGAGGGUCAUUGGAAACUGGAAACCUUGAGUGCAGAAGAGGAAAGUGGAAUUCCAUGUGUAGCGGUGAAAUGCGCAGAGAUAUGGAGGAACACCAGUGGCGAAGGCGACUUUCUGGUCUGUAACUGACGCUGAUGUGCGAAAGCGUGGGGAUCAAACAGGAUUAGAUACCCUGGUAGUCCACGCCGUAAACGAUGAGUGCUAAGUGUUAGGGGGUUUCCGCCCCUUAGUGCUGCAGCUAACGCAUUAAGCACUCCGCCUGGGGAGU